rnacentral:rRNA from 3 species
CCUGAUGCAGCCAUGCCGCGUGUGUGAAGAAGGCCUUCGGGUUGUAAAGCACUUUCAGUUGUGAGGAAAAGUUAGUAGUUAAUACCUGCUAGCCGUGACGUUAACAACAGAAGAAGCACCGGCUAACUCCGUGCCAGCAGCCGCGGUAAUACGGAGGGUGCGAGCGUUAAUCGGAAUUACUGGGCGUAAAGCGCACGCAGGCGGUUUGUUAAGCUAGAUGUGAAAGCCCCGGGCUCAACCUGGGAUGGUCAUUUAGAACUGGCAGACUAGAGUCUUGGAGAGGGGAGUGGAAUUCCAGGUGUAGCGGUGAAAUGCGUAGAUAUCUGGAGGAACAUCAGUGGCGAAGGCGACUCCCUGGCCAAAGACUGACGCUCAUGUGCGAAAGUGUGGGUAGCGAACAGGAUUAGAUACCCUGGUAGUCCACACCGUAAACGCUGUCUACUAGCUGUGUGUGCCUUUAAGGCGUGCGUAGCGAAGCUAACGCGCUAAGUAGACCGCCUGGG